GCGGCCUCGGGGCACGGCGGGCCCAGGCCGGAGGAGCUUUCGGUGGCGCGACCCCGCUGGCAUGCUCCCGGCCUCGGCCUCGGCCUCGGCCUUGGCCUCCGGGCCUCCAGCGCACGCGGGGCGUCCAGGGCCUCAUCUUCCCCUGGGGACCGCCCGGCCGUGUCCCGCUGCCCUCGGCGCAGGGGUGGGAGUUGCAGAGAGGAAGAGUCGCUAACCCGGAGUGUUUCUUAAAACUUGGCUGACCUGUGACCUGCGGAUUUGGAGGCUGAAUUCUCCGAGCACCUGAAGCUACUGCAGGAUAUAAUCUAAGAAAAUAAGGGGAAGAAAACAAGAAAGAGGAAGACAUUGGAUCCAAGAAAUGGGGGAUCUAUCACCUUACAGAUGAAAAGAGAAUCUACAUGAUCUUUGUGAAGACAGAUAUGACCUUGGGACUUGCUUUAGCCAGUGGAAUGGAAGCAGAAGUAACCUGUAAUUUCCAGGCCCGAGUUCCUGCCACUUCAAGACUUCACCACCUGAGACAAUGAGCAGCAGCAAAGGGAG
rnacentral:lncRNA from 10 species